ensembl:lncRNA
CUCGGAAAGGCCGGUGUCCCUGGAACACAGACGCCUCACGAGCCCCGAAAACGCAAUCAGGUGCCAGAGCUGCUCGCCUGCGUUUGUCCGGCCGAAUCUACCCGCUCGGAGGAGAGCUCUGCCCACCGCUCCGGCGCUGAGGCCAUCGCCCAAGCUCUUUGCGAAAUUUUCUUGGGAAAACUGACACUGAGCCCCCAGUGAAGCAGCAAAGACUGCUUUACAGAAUUUUAUAACUUGCCAGUCCCCCUAUGAACGCGGGGAAAGGGACGCGAGAGGUAGUGGCCGAGAAACGUCGGUAGGUACAUUUGGGGGUUCUCCCUGGGUAUCGUUCCUGACGAUGGGAUCGGAAACGGGGGGCCCUGUUUCAGUUCUGGAUUUGGAAGACUGCUGAUUCCCUCUACCCCUUCCUCUCUAAACCUCCACAUCAGGAUCCGCUCAUCUCUUUCCCACUCUCUUUAUGGGAACAGUCGCAUAGUACAAGAAUACUUUCCCAGCCUCGUGGUUCUAUCACACUUAUUUCCGUUUCUGGUAAGUCUAGCUUCUCCUGACAUAAUUUCUGUAAAAUCCCCUAAAAUUGUUCCUUUACCUUUUAGGAAUGCCUUUACCUUUACCUUUCUUCCGGAGUGCCAGAUCCUUUACCUUUUAGGAAUAAGAUAGCAUCCUGAUAAAUAUCGUGGACAUGAAGUAGCGCAUGCAGGUGAAGGAUCUCAGAUGUGUGCCCCAGUCUCCUCAUGUGUAAAACAGAUGACGUUUAACUGCAAGAGUUCCCAGCCAAGAACUUCGAAGGGUAGAGGGAAAAUUAUUUUUCCUUCUCUAGAAGAAUAAUGGUCACCUAGGACUGGAAAAACAAUUCUUUAAUGAAGACAGAGAAACCCCCGAAAAGACAGAAGGAAGUUGGUGAAAAGAACAAGAGGAAAGCUGAGGAAGGGACUUGGCCAAUAAAGCACAGGAUAAAAGUGUGUCAGAGGUCUCUAUCCAGGCCAUCGGUCUGAGAGAGCAGACAUUCCCUGAGGGUGGGAGAGAGCUCUCUGCAGACAUGACCUAAAGGGAUCAGAAGCCCCUUUUCAUGAAUCCAAGGGCAGAGGCCUGCAUGGGUAGACCAGGUGCCCAGGAGGCUGCAAAUGUCAAUACAGGGAAAUGCUGCUUCUAGUUUCCUCAUAGAAAUUUUCUUGACCGGGAAACAGAGUAUGCUGGCUAAUAUACUUCCUCCCUAAGGACAGUAAGUAUGACUCCAUGCCUUCCUUGGUUAUUCCUGAGGAAGGACUUCUGAGGGCUUUGCUUGACAUACUUCAAAGUUCCUCCUCUGAGCUCAGAGCAGCAUCUAAAGAAAAGAUGUCACAGCUGGAUACAUCUUUUGCAGAUUGGGGAAGCGCGCCUCCCUCGGAAAUGACUGCUAGGGUCAUCUAAUUCUUGAAGGAAGCGAUCUUAGAAAGGCCAAGAAAGGAAAGGGGAAAAAUGGAGGAAGUGCAGGACAAACAGAUAAGGAAAUGAAAAAUGUUUAUUUUGGCAAAGUGGCUUAUCUUUUACGUGAUAAAGAAGAAGAGUAGGACAGCCAAGCCAAGAGCAGAGUGGCGCAGCGGAAGCGUGCUGGGCCCAUAACCCAGAGGUCGAUGGAUCGAAACCAUCCUCUGCUAAAUAUUUUCAAGUAAGUAGGUUCCAGAGUCUCAGGGAGAAGACAGCCUCUGAGGAAACUGAUUUCAUAAAAUUCACCUCUGACGCUGUACCUAUUUCCUAGGAAUGUGUUUGGUAUUUUCCUUCUUUCGCUCCCACGUGACUGGGUAAUUUCCUUCUCACUCAUUUCAAAACAGAGACAAAUCUUACCACCAUAGUAGAGGAAGAGGAGGUGACAAAUUCCAUGCUGCAAAAAAUUAAUGUUCUAUCUUCCACUGGAUAGAAUACGCACUAAGGUAGAAUAUGAUUUUAUAUUUUUCUUGCACAUUUUCUUAUAGUCAAAGGAAGAACAUUGUUACUUAUUUUUGCCUGAGAACAUUGGUUACUGUAAACCUACGUUGCCUUUUUACUUGGGGGGAAUCCUGCUUUUUCACUCUUUUGUUCAUUCCUGUGCGUGAUUUAUUACAUUCAUUUCUAACCAGAGCUCCAAAGGACUGGAAUCCAACCCCUGGGGUUUCUCUACCCCAGGCAACUGCUUCAUAUGUAUGCUCAUCAGCAGCCCAAUUUGUUCUCAAUUCUUUACCAGAAGCUGGAAAUUACAAAAUGAAACAUUAUUUGAAUCUCCAACCUCCCCAACUUUAUUGUCUUAUUCCCCUGUCCCUGAAAAUGUCAAAUACCAGGGAAAGAAUGCUCUAGGGGAAGUAAAAUGUAUGAAAAGAAAAUCAAAUCAGAAGAUCUUAGCACUGUCGCAAGUCUACGUAGAAGGAAAUAGGUAAACUGAGAAAAUGGAUACAAAGAUACAUGGAACUUAACAUAUGACGAAGUUAAUAUUUCAAUUUAGUAGGCAAAGGUAGUUUCAAAAAUAAAUAGUCAUGGUACAACUAACUUUGCCUAUGGAAGAAAACAAAGAUGGACAUUUACUUCUCAACCAUGUAAAAAUCAAGUUCCAGAGAGAUUAGUGAUUUCAAUACAAAACAUAAAAUUAUAAAACAUGUUGCAAUUAAUAAGAGAACUCAGAAAAAAAAUUUAAUUGGAAACGCUUGCGUAAGAAAUAUUUGAGCAACAAAGGCUUAAUAAAAGUGUGCUUCAAUGAAAGCCUAAGCCUAAUUUAACAUUCGCCUAAGUUAACAAAUGUUAAACUUAUUGUCGUGAUCAUUUUGCAAUAUAUAUAAAUAUCAAUCAUUAUGUUGUACAUCUGAAACUAAUGCAAUAUGGCAAUUAUACCUUAAUACAAAAAUAACUUAAAAAAAAGGCUGUUAAAUACCAAAAACCUACAAAUUCCAGAAAAGUGACAUAAUAUUUUACUAAUUAACUAUCUGACAUGUCUCUAUAAUAUUCUUUUCCUGGGUCAUUUUGGCUGUGUAGUCUUUGAUCACCUCUCCAUAUGACAAAAUUUUGUCAUAUUUUCUAUACAGAGAUUGGUAAAAUAAUUCAAUCUUUCCUCUAGCAGGGUUGGUUGAAAUCUAUUUUCCAUAAACAGUUGCUUAGAAAAGCAUCUCUCUGGUUUCUAAGUCACUGUUAGUAAAGUCAUGCACAUUUUUAAGAUUGUUGUCCUGAAUUUGGAAAGUCCUCUGUUCCUGUUCUUUUCGUUUAUGAACUGCUGCGGGCCCCUCGCUUUCGUAGCACUGUUUCAGACUCGCCUGCAGUCUCAGGAGUUCUGAUAAACGUUGUUGCAUGUGAUUCUCAUCGAUGCAGGAAAGAAAAAAAUAAAAGAUACCAGUAUGUUAUAAUUGUCUAUGCUGCAUUUUCAAGUGCAUUCCUGAUGGGAAAGAACUUGUAUUUUGACUAGCC